GUCCCUGUAGCGCAAUGGAUAGCGUGUUGGACAUCUAAUCCAAAGGUCGUGGGUUCAUAUCCCACCUGGUAUG
rnacentral:tRNA from 1 species